rnacentral:lncRNA from 1 species
CUGUAAAUGUAGCGGAUAGCGGUUGUCACGUUUGUUUCCGUAAAGGGAUGUCAGUCAUCCUAGGAGACUAAAGGCAGUGGUGGGGCUUCUGCACCUGGCUUCUGGACCCUUCGCCCGCAUCCGGGCUGCAGCCGUGUGUGUGUCUGUGUCUGCAAACAAGUUCAUCCCCUUUCCACUUAUGUGGAAAAGCUAGGAGCCAAAUGUUUGUAUUAACCAAGAAUAUUGAGAAUUCAGAGACUCAGAACAUGGUCUGUAUUCACCGAGGAUGUAUGGCACUGUGAAAAAGAUAGAGAAAUAAUCAAAACAUCAGAUGAAAAAUGCACCAAGAGAUCUAGAGCAAAGGACUCUGGGAGAUUUGAAAACCAGCAGCAGUUUUCAGCAAGUCCUGGAUGAGUGGAACUAAAGUUGCAGAUGGAACUAAGGUACACAAUCAGAGUGACCCAAAAGGUGAAGAAUUCAACCUUCCAUUGCUGCCUUUGAAGAGAGAGGAAGGCACCAUUAGUCAAAGAAUGCCAUUAGCUUACAGGAGCUGGAAAGAUCAGAGGAAUAGCUGGAUCUCUAGAGUCCCUGGAAAGACUGAAGCCCUGAUGAUUAAUGCCUGCAGUUUAGUCCCAUGAAACCCUUUUGGACUUCUGUUCUCACAACUGUAUAAUGAUACAUUUGUGCUGUUCUAAGUUACUAAAUUUGUGUUGGCUUCUAUAGCAAUUGCAGAUAACAAAAUAUGUGAAAC